GAUGAACGCUGGCGGUAUGCUUUACACAUGCAAGUCGUACGAAAAGUAUUUGAAUUUAUUCGUUUACUUUUAGUGGCGGACGGGUGAGUAACACGUGAGAAUCUGCCUUUAGGAGGGGGACAACAAAUCGAAAGGUCUGCUAAAACCCCAUAUGUCGUUAGAUGAAAUAGAUUUAUCUGCCUAAAGAGGAGCUCGCGGCUGAUUAGCUAGUUGGUGGGGUAAAGGCCUACCAAGGCGACGAUCAGUAGCUGGUCUGAGAGGAUGAUCAGUCACACUGGAACUGAGACACGGUCCAGACUCCUACGGGAGGCAGCAGUGGGGAAUUUUCCGCAAUGGGCGAAAGCCUGACGGAGCAAUACCGCGUGAGGGAUGAAGGCUUAAUGAGUUGUAAACCUCUUUUUUCAAGGAAGAAGUUCUGACGUUACUUGAAGAAUAAGCAUCGGCUAACUCCGUGCCAGCCGCC
rnacentral:rRNA from 1 species